rnacentral:rRNA from 1 species
GUACUGGCUGGUGAAUGGCUCGGCUCGAGAGCCGACGAAGGACGUGCCAAGCUGCGAAAAGCCUGAGGGAGCCGCACGGAGGCUAAGAACUCAGGAUCUCCGAAUGGGAAUCCCUACAACAAUUGCCAACGCGCAAUAGGGAACGUUCCGAAUUGAAACAUCUCAGUAGGAACAGGAACAAAAAGCAAUCCGCGAUGUCGUUAGUAACGGCGAGUAAACGCGACACAGUCCAAACCGAAUCCGCAAGGAAAUGUGGUGUACGGACAAUCUACAACGGAUCGCCAACACACGAGAAGUCUCCUGGAACGGAGCGUGAUACAGGGUGACAACCCCGUAUCGUAUGAAGGCAAUCCCGAGAUUGCUCCAGAGUAGCGGGGGUUGGAUAUCCCUCGUGAAUCUCGCAGGCAUCGACUGCGAAGACUAAACACUCCUCGAGACCGAUAGCGAACAAGUAGCGCGAGCGAACGCUGAAAAGCACCCCGAAAAGGGCGGUGCAAUAGGGCCUGAAAUCAGUCAGUGAUAGAGCGACGGGGCAUACAAGGUCCUCGGAAAAACGACCGUGGGGCGACCCACCAGUAGGAAUCCGAGGAAGCCGGUGUUCCGUCGUACGUUUUGAAAAACGAACCAGGGAGUGCACUUACUUGGCGAGUCUAACUGGAUCAUCCAGGAAGGCGCAGGGAAACCGACAAGGCCGCAGCAUUGCGAGGGCCGCCGUGUUCAAGCGCGGGGAGUCAAGUGGGUGCGACCCGAAACCAGACGAUCUACGCAUGGACAAGAUGAAGCGUGCCGAAAGGCACGUGGAAGUCUGUUAGAGUUGGUGUCCUACAAUACCCUCUCGUGAUCUAUGUGUAGGGGUGAAAGGCCCAUCGAGUCCGGCAACAGCUGGUUCCAAUCGAAACAUGUCGAAGCAGACCUUGCCCAUCCCGACGGUGGUCAAGCGGUUCCUCGUCUCGCUACCGAUUGGUGUGUCGGGAUUUGCGCUGUCGGAAGGUCUCUACACGACUGUCCACGCGUGCAGGUAUGGCCCGGUGGAGUAGCUAGGAGAGGUCCCCAAGAUAGGUUAAGGUCCCCAAGUGUGGAUUAAGUGUAAUCCUCUGAAGGUGUCUCGAGCCCUAAACAGACGCGAGCUGAGCUUAGAAGCAGCUACCCUCUAAGAAAAGCGUAGCAGCUUUCUCGGCUGGAGGUUUGAGGCGUCGAAAAUGAUCGGGCCAAAUCCACCACCUAGACCAGUCGGCACACACCGAGACUGCUCAUCGGUGGAACGGAACGCUUCGUAUUGGUGGAAGCGGCGGGAGCUCACGAGGCUAGGUCUACGUCCGAUCAGCAUAGCUCGACGGAGACCGACCCUAAUGGAUAAGGGUUCCUCAGCACUGCUGAUCAGCUGAGGGUUAGCCGGUCCUAAGUCUCACCGCAACUCGACUGAGACGAAAUGGGAAACAGGUUAAUAUUCCUGUGCCAUCAUGCAGUGAAAGUUGACGCCCUGGGGUCGAUCACGCCGGGCAUUCGCCCGGUCGAACCGUCCACGCGCGUGGACGAACGGCGGCAGCGGACGACGGCGGCGUCGGGAUCCGGAUCCAACCGGCGGCAUCGCUCACGCGGGGUUGUUCAACACAAUACUCACACCGCGUCGUCACGCGGCACAACGUCACUCUCACGGCAGGACAAACGUGUCAAAAUACCCGCGAGACGUCUCGCAGUCAGGCGAGGUACUGUCGGGUCCCGAACGGAGCAGGUCGCAGUGACUCGGAAGCUCGGACUGUCUAGUAACAACAUAGGUGACCGCAAAUCCGCAAGGACUCGUACGGUCACUGAAUCCUGCCCAGUGCAGGUAUCUGAACACCUCGUACAAGAGGACGAAGGACCUGUCAACGGCGGGGGUAACUAUGACCCUCUUAAGGUAGCGUAGUACCUUGCCGCAUCAGUAGCGGCUUGCAUGAAUGGAUUAACCAGAGCUUCACUGUCCCAACGUUGGGCCCGGUGAACUGUACAUUCCAGUGCGGAGCAUGCACCAUCCCGGCCAACCGAAGUUCAUGGCUGUCGCUGAGACAGUACAAUAGUCCCCUCGCGAUCCGUAUCCUGACGUAUCUGACAGAUGGUAUAUUAAAAGUUCCCCAGUUGGAAGCCAGCUCACACAACAGUGAAAUACUACCCGUCGGUGACUGCGACUCUCACUCCGGGAGGAGGACACCGAUAGCCGGGCAGUUUGACUGGGGCGGUACGCGCUCGAAAAGAUAUCGAGCGCGCCCUAUGGUCAUCUCAGCCGGGACAGAGACCCGGCGAAGAGUCAAGCACUUGAUGACUUGCCAGUGCUCUGGCCGACGUACGGUAUACGCUGACGCGAAACGGGAUAAUUACCCACGCGGAGCGCUAAUUCCAGACCACGGGUGACAUGAUGCUGUUAAUCCGGUGCGGCAACGUCAAUCUACAGCUCUCUCGGUUGUGCUCGAGAGAUCGUCACGGUCGGAGUCUUUCCAGCGAUUGGCUUGCUACCUCGAUGUCGGUUCCCUCCAUCCUUCCUGUGCAGAAGCAGGCUAGGGUGAGGUUGUUCGCCUAUUAAAGGUGGUCGUGAGCUGGGUUUAGACCGUAGUGAGACAGGUGGGCUGCUAUCUAUUGGGGGUGUUUCGGUGUCUGACAAGAACGACCGUAUAGUACGAGAGGAACUCGACUUGAGAGGACCCCGCGACACUUCUCGGCGGCGCGAUUCGGGCCAACCUCGCUACCGAGGAGGCAGGCGAGCACCGUGACCGACUCCGGCGAGUCACUGACCGACUCCGGCGACUCACUGCGGUCGAAGCGGAGGUGGCGGUCGAUAGACUCGUAAAACGAGCGAAUUAUGGCCUCCUCGGCCCGAUCAGAGCGAGAAUCGUCCGCCG